AAGCAUCAUCAGAAACCGACCAUACUGGCUUCCUGAUCUCAGACUUUCAGCCUCCAGAAUGGAUAUAUUUGGCAUUAAACUCGGGACAAAAGAAGACACAAACUUUAUCUUGUGGUUUGGGUCCUCCAAUCCUCAUAAAAGUGUGGUUUCACCUGUUACCUCAUAAAGGUGCCAUUGCUGUAUGCACAUCUGAAUCUGUUUACAAUUUGAGAAUAGAGAGCUGAGGGCUGUGCCCUGCCACCGGGCCACAAAGUGUCACAGAUUAUUGCCUGCUCCUCCAAGCCCUUCACUGUAGAAUGGAAGCCUGUGAUUUUCCUGGCAUCAUGCAUGACUGAGAAGGUCAGUGUGGCUAAUUCUGAGCUUCAACAUCAGGAAACCCGUAGUUCUUCACACUGAGCCGCCUCCUGCAGCACAGUCAUCCUUGGCUUAACACCACAUGGAAGCCACCAAGACUUAUGACUUGCAUCC
rnacentral:lncRNA from 1 species